ACACUGAUGGUGAAACGGUAUCAUGCUUGCCUUCCACAAUCUGCAUCUACAGCAAGCGGCGUGGGUUCGACUCCCGCUCAGUGUA
rnacentral:tRNA from 1 species